rnacentral:lncRNA from 1 species
AGGGUUAGGGCUGGCGGUUUUGCAGCUCACCUGGGGAGGCCAGCAGCACCUUCGCCCCGCAGCAUUGAAAGCAGUGCAGCAGAGACUUGGCACGGAUGUUGUAGUUGAGGCACGACAAGGGACAGCCCAGUUUGAGCAGUCCCAGCCAGAUCCACACAUAGGCCGGCUCAUUGCCCAUGAAGAGGGCCACGCAAUCCCCCUGUCGCAGGCCCAGUUGAUCGUGCAGCGUCCGCGCCACUUGGUUGCUGCGCCUGUCCACCUGGGCGUAGGUGAGUGUCUCGUCUCGGAACAGCAGGAAGGGCUUGUGCGGGGUCUUGCGCGCUUGCUCCAGGAAGACCUGCAGGAUGGUACGCACGGGUCGCCGCUGCCGGUAGCUGCGCACCCGCCGGGCCAUGUUGGCCAGCAGCAGGAAGUACCGCACGUCCUGGAGGAGGUAGGGGCAGCAGCAGAUAAGUGUAGCUACCACUUUUUAUCAAAGAAGCGCCUCUUUACAGCGAAUGGAAACCAUUACAGAACACCAUAACUGGACAUAAGACAGAGAUCAGUGGUUGGUGGGGGCCAAAAGGAUACAUCUGCAGCAUGGCACCUGCAUCUUUGGCUCAGGGGACUUAGCAGAGGAGAUCUGAAAGAUUGAAAGAGCUGGAAAAUCAGGGAGUCUGCUGCAAGACUGUCUUUUCAAAAUGCUGAAAAUAAAACUAAUAUGUGACUCGGCGGUUCCACCCCCAUGAACAUACCCAAAGAACUCCACAUCCUACAGAGAUACUCAUUUAUUCACGGUCACUGCUGCAUCGCACACAAACCACAAGGAAACGAAAGCAGCCAAGAUGCCCAUACACAGUGAAAACGUAGUCCAUAGCCACAAUGGAAUUUUAUUCAGCUCUAAAGAUAAGUGCCUCCCACCCCUCAUCAAAGAGACUUCUCUUUACACCAAAUGCAGACCAUUACAGAGUACCACAGCUGGACACAAGAGGGAGACAAUGGUUCCUGGGAAUCUGAGUGGACAGAGCAGGAUCUCAGCUGCUGCAUCUCUGGCUCAGGGAACACAGAGGAAGAGGUGGUGGGAAGACUACCAGGAAGUCUGCCAUGAGACCGUCUGUCACAGAAAUGACUGCACAAACAGGACCAGAGCAAUGGGCAGUAUCAGGUGAAAUGGUGACGUGGAAGCCAGUAAUCUCACGGGGUUCAUUCCCUAGGCAAAGACCUACAGACAAUAAUUGCUAAGAGAGGGAGAAUUAGCUUCUCCCUGAGAUGAUCCCCCUAAGAUAGCCACCCUGAAGUCACAUCCUCACAAACAACACACACAGACGCAGCAGAUUGUACCUAUAAAUCUGCAUGUCUCAAUAAUAACCGAAGAAAAAGAGGCUAUCCAUUUGAAAGCAAGGGAGGGGACAGUGAACGGGUUGGAGGCAGGGGACUUGGGAGGGGAUGGAGGGAGGUAAGGAAAAGCAGGGAGUGAUGCAAUUACCCUUUGAUUAAAGUGGAUUAAACUUAAUAUAGUAAAGUAAUUCUACCCUUUGCCCGUCACGGUACACUGUGCACCUUUUCCUGAGACUCACCAAACCCAUUCGUUUCUGCAUAAACUUCUUAUAUUUCCUCUUUGCAAAAACAAUCAAUUAAGUGCAUUUUAUUAUUUUUUUCUCAUUUUUAUUUUGUUGUGCAAAAGAAUAUUUUCAUUCUGAAUUCCCUUUUAUUUGUGUUUCUAACAACCAGUUUUGGCUGGAUAGAAAUAAUGUUUGUUGUUUUUUUUGAUGAGAGAACAAAGUUAAAAAUUUCAAAGG